UUUGUGAGUGGUCAGCAGGCUUUACGCGGCCUGAGAUAAGUGUGGGUUAACCUCAUCUUCCUUAAAGUAGGAAAUUAAAUCAAGACGUAAUCGUGUGAUAUACAAGGACAGGGCAAUUGGCUUUAUUUCCCCAAGUUCAGAACGUUUGUAACGCAGAUACCACGUGAAUACAUUGCCGUCCUAAGGUUCAGGCUGGCUGCGUUACUCUUUUCCUUCGGAUUUAACUUGCUGCAGUGUUCAGCAGGAGCCAAUGUGAGGCAGUAAAAUAUUGUGGCUGCAUACAGCACUGCUGGUCAUAAAAGCCUGUCAGUACAGCACACGAGUCAUGCUUUGAUUUCUUGCCAAAUUAAACAGUUGUUAUGCUCUUAGGAAGUACCAGCCUCUGGAUAAGAUACAAUUUUCCUGGCCAGGGUUAAUUCUCCCACUGUACAUGCAGGAUUACUGUUGAUAAGGGCUGGUUGAAAGGCUAUUUGUGAGAAUUGAUGCGGAGUGCCUGAUGACAGAUUUUUGUGAUGUGUUUCUACUAACCAAUUACAAUACGUGUUUCUUUGCAAAUUAGCCUUCCAAAGCACUGCACCCUCUGCGUAGGCAGUGACUCCUGGUGUAUCCGCAGUGGUUCUGUAGCUUAUAGCACAGGUAUUUAUUGCGGGUACUGUGAUAUUAGUAGGGUAUGUGGGUAGGCAUACCUCAGCUGAAAGCUUUGACAGCCACCUGUCCCAGAUUGUGAACUGUUGGUAUUGUCAGCCUGAGAUCACAGGAUACAUCCAGGAUAAACUGAGUUGCAACUUCAGUGCUGAAAUAGCAGAACUCUUUUGGUGUAUAAUCAGCACUGCCUGAAGGGAGAGUGACCCUGAAUUUCAGUAAAUUCCUGCUGAUGUCCUUUCACACCCCAAAAGAUAUGCAGAAAAAGCUUACUAAGCCUCUGUAACCGAUAUACAGUACAGAUAACAGCUUUUUGCUGAUAAUCUAAUUAGCAAAAUGAGUGCUGUUCUUGGAUGUGUUCAAACAGCCUCUGCUACUAGGAAUGAAGAUCCUACGAGAGAAAUAAAACAGUGAUCCUGUGGUUAUCCCAAGAGCAAGGAUGUCUCAGCUGUAGGUGUUUGCUGUUGAGAACAAGGUCUUUAAAGUCCACGUGGAAGUUCUUCUCAUCUCGUCUACACUCAGCAACUCAUACUCUAACCCCUGUAGGGAAACUAAAUCUCCGUGCAAGAGGUUUUGUCAGGAAGUUGGUAAAAUGCAGAAGUUGUGGCAAAAGAAUUGCCGUUUUGCAUGUUACAGCUGGUGGCAAGCAAAGUAGUUUUGUUUUGAGUUUGAACAAGAAGUUUAAACCAGUGAAGUCGCUCAAGGCAAGGCAGUUGAAAACAGUGAAGAGCUACAGUGAUGAAAUGAUGAAGGGGGAUGUGAGGUGUCAAACCUGCGAGGCAAGAGAAAUAAUCAAACACAACCUCAGGCAAUCGUUAUCAAAAAGUACAUGUGUACUGCAUAUUUGCUACGGAUAAGUCACAAAAAGUUGCAUGUAAUGCUUUGAGGAGGGUGGGGAGAAAUGUAGAACAUUCAGGUGAUUUUGCUUUGGGUGAAAAAAAAGAAACAAAACCGACCAAACGACAAACCGUAAGCUCAGUUUACCAUUAUUUUGUUAUUUAGCAGAUCUGAAAUGCUGGGGGCUGAGACCUUAAAUUACAGUGAAAAGAGAAAUGUAAAGUUCCUUUGGCUGUUCCCCAUCCACACCAGCCCUGCAGUCCCAGUUUAAGCUGUCACCUCCUAUUGCAGCGUGCUGUUGUUCAGCAGCCACAAGUAGGUCACGUAGCACAGAUGGUCUUGCUGCCAGCAAAAUGUGGAGUCUGCAGUCCCCUUUGAGGCUAUUCCCUGUGCUCUCUCCUUUUCAUACUGUUAGUAUGGAGAGAUUGGACUGAAUUCUGAUGCUACCAACCGUUUUAUCGUCUGCUCACUGAGACUGAAAGCAUAAAGCAAAGGUCUACAAAUACCAGGAGUGAAAAAAGUGAUGGGAUGGUUGGAAAGAGGGCUGGAUUUGUGCUUUAUGAAAUAUGGCAUUGCUAUGUUAGAGUGUUUCCUGGGCUUAGCUUAUCUUUACCCAGACUGAUGGAAGCUUGGAUUCAUGCAGAGCUGCUGUGCUUGACCUCUAAAGGGGCAAAAAAAAGUAAGCAAAAAAAGGGGAGGAUGCUGCCAGGAGAUGUGGGAUAUUAGUUUGUCUUUCUUGCAGCAUCGUAGCAUCCUUCUAUUCGUGCACUUUUCUGUAGGGCAUAACUGGGAGGGAACAUGUACCACUUAAAACUUGUUCCUAAAUACUAUGGCUGAGUUCCCUGCCAAAACAUCAAAAUCUCUGCUUUUAUUUCCCUAUCCUCUGCCUCAUCCUUCCUCUCUUGUUAGCAUCUUCUCCACUAGCUGCAGAGCAACAGCAGCUCACCCAUGCAGCCUGGGUAAACCCAGUGUGACAGCUGCCUGCUCUGUUACCUGGGUGCUUUUAUUUACUAAAUCUAAUUGCUCUUUAUAUUUUUGUGAAGUACCUUCCCCUGAUUUAUUUAUUUAUUUAUUUAUUUAUUUAUUUAUUUAUUUUAAUGUUGUCACGUGCAAUUAGAAGCAGCAUGCUGUCUCAAUCUGAGCUUAAGCAAUUUGUGCUGCUGGAAGUGAGGGAAGUGAGAAACUGCAAAGAAAAAGUAGCUGGAAAGACUGAAGGUUGUUGCUAUCAGAAUACUCUCAUGUUGUUAAAAAUAAACACAUAUGUGUAGCUAUUUCAUAGAAGCAUCUAAAAACACUUCCAGGAUUAGAUUGAAGUCAUCACAGUUUUCAUCCAGACAAGAUUUGUUAUGAUUUCUGUGUGGGUGCUGAGGAAUGUAUUGUAAUUUGCCCAGUGCUUUACACUAGGCUAAAAGAGCAAGAUUCAGGAGCAGUGAGCUACGUUUCUGGUCUUUGGAUGCUUCAGGCUGAAAAUGUCAUUUAAGUUUCAAUUAUUUUUGUUUGUUUGAAGUGCUUGGGAGAGGACUACGAGGGUACAAAACCAGACGUGUGGUUUCGGCUUCAGUCGGCAGAGGGAGUACAAACACCUGUGUGCAGGGCCACGCGUGACAGCUGAGAGAACAGGCUCUGCCCUGAUCCCUCUUUUGUCUGCAGGAAAGGAGCCCUAAAAUUAUUAGGCAGUAGAACUCAAGAUUCCUUCAAGCUUGCAGAGCGUGGAUUGCAGAGAAGGAAGAGCUGCAAUGUUCAAAACAGGAAGUUCUUAAAGCAGAAAGGAGGAAUUUACCAAAAGGUAAAGGUGAAGGUGGAGCCUGGCUUAAUCAUAAAAUGAUAAGGACAGAGGAAGUUAGAAAAAUCUGACAAAUAAAAUUCCAGUUGUUAUCUUCCAACCUCUGUGCAUGCAAUUGGGCAUUAUUCUAAAUGUCUGGAGUAUUUUUGCACAGACAUAUAAAGAAAAAUAGGACUUGUGCUCUUCAGACUUGUUUUAGUGGUUGUGUAUCUCAAAGAUUGUAUUAAAGCCACAGGAUAAUACAGAAAUAUGCUCUCAGACUGUGACUGUUUCAAAAGUUGAGUUGGCAGCAGUGUGGUGCCAGCACAGCCCUUGUGCUCCACAGAGCACCUUUCCAAUGAGAAGUGACUGGAUGUUCCUGUGGAGGUAAAUCCUUGGUUAUUAAUCCCACAAGCCAGGCUUCAUUCUUCUUGGAUUAACUCUGUGGAUUAAAGCUGCCUAUCUACAUUUCCCAUGCCUUAAUUAGGUUCAACAUACCCUCCAAUUCAGGGCAUUUGUUAUUCACUGUUGCUAAUGCUACAGCACUAAGCUAAAGUUAUCACAGGACAAGUCUGAGAAAUGGGGCUGAGGUGGGGAGAAUUUUCUCUUUCCUGCAUUAGUCAUCUGGGAUUUGCCCCUUCCAAGUGAACAAAUAAUACCACAGAGUGAAAUGUCUUCUGCUGCAGCUUCCCCCCAAAUACUUGAUUUCUCUGCUCUCACGCUGCUCUUUUUCCAUUGAUUUUUACCUACACUUGCUGAAAGCAGCUUUAACUGUAGCAGAAAUACCUAGUAGUCUGCUUUGUUUGUUGUAUCCAAGGGCAUCUGAGAGCACCUCUGUUGCAGAGGAACUGUGCAUCAUCAGCUUCUGUGUAACUUCAGUGCUGUAAGUAACAGGGUAAAACAUUUCUGAUGUCAAAAUUGGCAUGGAGGAUCUCAUGUACCAGUCUGAAACCACUUUGUACAUGUGAGUUGCUUAUUACAUUUUUGUUUGGUUAACUGACAGUCUAUAUUCAGUGUAUAUGCAGAUACUUAAACAAAUGUUUAUUAUAACUACAGGUUCCAUGGCAUAUUUUGUAAAAUGCUUUUGGGAUCCCUGUGGAUGAAUGUAAGACCUUUGUAACCAUCGCCAGCCAUCAGAGGCCAGCCAGGUGCUACAGAUGCUACCUAGCAUAAAUAUUUGUGCUCUGGGAAUUUUGUUCAACGUUUACUUAAACAUUCUGUUUAAAAUAAAAUAAAAACACCCAGAAGGAAAAGUUCCUGUAAUCUGUUUUAGUUAUCUCAGUUCUGUUGAGUGAAGAUUGAGAGUUGAUGCAUUGGUACCAGGGAAGCUGAUGGUGACUGAAGAGCAGGAAGUGCCCCGACUCUGAGAGCUGACAUUUCUGAUACCAGGAUUGGCUUUGCCUCCCUGAGUUUGUCUCCAAUGGGCUCUGAGCACACGUAGGCUCAAGAUUCCAGAGAUUUGCAAGAAGUCCAGGCUUCUCAGAAAGAGCUUCAGUGUCCUGUGCAAAACAAUUAGUUCAGAAACAGUCAUCCCUGAUGGUAUUCUUGUGCAUUCCAUAUCUCUCAAAGCAAUACUGCUGAGGCAGCAAUGGUGGAAUGAAUCCAGCAAGUUUAUAAUUUCUUUUCAACUCCUGCUCAAGCUGAUCUGGCUAUGUAUACUAUUUGCAUGCUGGAUAGGUGUGAGAUGAUUUAAGUCAUAUUUUGAAAGAAUUCUUCACCAAAAGAUGCCCUGGUAAACUUUUUGUUUCUAAUUUCCUUUCCUCAGUAUAUAUCUCAGUAAUCAGUUAUUUCUGCUCUUUUGCUACCAGCAUUCUCAGAUGUAUUGUGGAGAAUAUAAAAUAGAAGAUAUCUCAAGAGUGCCUACUGGAAGAGACCAGAAGGCUCUUCAAGCAAAUAUCCCUUCAGAGCAUCCCCAUAUGUUAUCAUGGGCUCAAUGGAAAGAGAGGCAGCCCUGAAGUGCCAUAUCAAACAGCUAUUGAGUUUGUUCAGAUAAGUUUCUUUUCAAUUGAGAGUUGAGGGCUGUCUCAUGCUAUUUGUUUUUCCUAAAUAGAAUUAACAUAGCUACAGCUGCAAUAUGAUUACCUUAACGACCUCUAAUGUAUUCUGGCUCUGUCUUCCACAGGUUAAUUUACUUGAAUUGUAUUUUUCCACUUGUUAGCUUUAUAUUUGCUCCUUGGAUUUCUCCUGCUUCUAAAGAUGGUAACACAGUUUGCCUCUUUUCCUUCAUUCUCUUGAGCCUUCACAACUAACAAGCUGGCAUUUCCUACUGGCCUGUUCUGAAGUGCACACUGUGCAUUUGCAUUGUCUGAAGUUAUGAGUGCAAUGCAUGCUGGCAUGACCAAGCCCUGACAUUUGCAGAGAAGGAAAAAAAAGAAAAACAGGCUGGACAUUACUCAGUCUGUCUGUGCAUGCAAUGGGUCACCCUGUUCUGAACAGUGGUGCUUAAUGCAUUUACUCUGUUACCAUCUUUGAAGGGAUAGAAAAUGUGCUGCUUGUGCCAAGUGCAGUGUAACACAGUUCUAUUCAGGAAUAUCAGGUAUAAUUACUGUCUCUCCUGUUUCUAAACAUCAUUCUCAUGUGUCUGUGCCUUCUGAUGUGAAAUGGAGCAUGUGUGUGCUUUAUGGGAGCUGUGAGGACUGACAGGCCAGUGGUUUUAGUGCACCCAGCAGGUCAGGGCUCAGUCACCAGUUCUGAUGUGACUGAAAAGGACUGAGCAGCAGCAGGAGCUUUCACUGAGCUCACCCGUGAGGAUUUAGGAUGGAGACAAAUACUAGAGCAGGCACCAGGAGCUGUUUUAAUGUGUGGCGGCCACAUUUAGUCUGGUCAACUCAAAGCUCUUUACUGAUUAGUUCAGCAGAAUUGUUCCUCUUUCACUGUUAGUGAAGACAGCUGAGAUGAAGGGAGUUUCCAUUUAAUGGUGGCAGUAAAACUAGAAAAUAGAUUGGAGUGCAAUUUUUAUGUAUCACAGUAUUGCAUUCUGUACAAAGCCAUACUGGCAGAUUUGUUCCUCAUUGAAAUAUAUAAUAUAACUGAUGCAGUGCAAUUAAUAAGACUAAACUGGCAGGAAACUAAAGAGUCACGCAUAAGUUCCUGGAUUUGGGUUAUAUCAUGGCAUCUGGCUGAUAAAAUCCACAUUAGAAGGGCUUUUCUGUAAUAAAUAUUCUAAAAUCAAAGCCAACACCUGGCAAAUGAGCAGGAUUCUUCAACCCUCCUGUAUCCAUUUUAGAGAGGCUGGAUUUUUUGGGAGGCACGACUGUCUUUUCCUCCUAGCAAUUGCUGCAGCAAUUUCUAGUCACAGAAUGAGGUCAUCUGGGGCACCUUGCUGCCUAAUUUCUGCACAAAGAAACAAUCUCUUUUUUAUAAAGACCUUGUGGUGAUUCUUUAAACCUUUUAAUGCCUUCCUAAGAAAUGACGGCUGGGAUCAGUGGAUGGUUGGAUAGGUCGAUGGUGAAAACAUAAUAUGGUGGGAAAAACAAAAUCCUAACAUAUGGUAGAUAGUUUGUUGUACCAGAAUAGCACAUUUCUGUAGCAAAGGGAUGUUUCUGUGGAAAGAACAAAAUUCAGUGUAACUACCACAGAGCAUUCUCCCAGAGACAAGCUAGCAGGUCGUUCCCUGCACCGGCUCUGAAAUGGGAUGUGCUGUGGGUUUUGAGCUUUGUAUUGAUGCUAUUCUCUCUGCUGUGCUAUUUAUGUCAGGUCAGUCAGGAUCUUCAGUUGAAAAUUAAUCAGAAACAGACAUUUGGGGGAAGCAGAGGGCAACUAGUUAUACUGCGGUCAGUGUCCACGCUCAGGCCAGCUGGUCAAACCACCUGAGUGCAUUCCCAAGGAAGAUGUUUUUUUUAAAGCGUAGCUUUUCUCCAAGCAUCAAAAUUUGGAGCACAUUUCUCUCCCCUUCCUCAUUAAACACAGCUUCACUUGUAGAUACCAAAAUCUCCUUAAGUUCUAGCCACAGACAGGGAGCUUUUCCAACCUGGCUCCCCUCCCUUGACUUUGAUCUUCUAACACACUGUAGUUUACGCAGAGGAAAUGGGACUUUCUUGCUUCUUGCAGGUCCUGCACAUUCUGUAGCUCUGGUAGUAGAAAACAUCUGGUGCUUCUAUUUGAUCUGCAGUAUUACUUGUCAGGCCCAAACAACAGGGAAAUAAUCUCCUUUUUUCAUGCUCUACAGCCUGGUUCUAAUUUGUCACAGACCCUUUUCAACCAGGUCAGAGAAAAUGAUGAAUCUUUUCACCCCUGGCAGCAGAGAGAAAAGCCUGGUGGCACAUCCUUGAGCAGAAACUGAAGAGAGGAGUAAUUUUUUGGCAUAAAAGGAAAAAAACAAUCGCUGGGCCAGAAGCAAUUUUGCUUUGCAAAACAUAAGAUGGUUUGGAUGGUUUGAUGGUUUGCAAACUAAUGGUGUUGUUGCAUACAAACAUGACAGUUUGGCAACUGGGAAAAGGUAGAGUUGCUACAUUAUGACUGUUUUUGCCUCCUUUUGUUUUCCUGAGGAUGCACUGAGCUACACAGAGGUAUGCACACAGUUGCCAGGGGCUUUGCAAAGUAGCUUCAUGCAGUGGUUCGAGUGUAGGAUGUUGUGCUGGGAGAUCUGAUAGGCUUACUUCUGGCUUGAAUGUGUAUAAGAAAGAAACAUAUAAACAGAGUAGAAGUACAUCAUAAUAACCACAGUCUGGCACCCUUAGUGCUGUACCUAGCUGUGCUACUGGGUUAGAGCAAGUCUUGGGAGGGUAAGCUAAGCUCUCCCAGUCUUGGUUUCCAUGCCUACAAAAUGCUGGUGAUGUUUGCUCCUCUUUGAGGUCAGUAGGCAUGGAAGUCUUUUUAUCAGAGCAAAGCUUGCAGUGCAGCUCUCGGUUCUCCUGACAUGUAAAAAAACAGCUAAGCAAAGGACAGCCCAACCUUCAGUCCUGACCGAGUCAAACAGCAACCUUUAGGGCAGUAACAAAGAAAGAAAAUGAAAAUAAAUGUGCAAUG